rnacentral:lncRNA from 1 species
UUUUUUUUUUUUUUUUUUUUUUUUUUGGUCAUUUGCUAGAAGAAAUUAUUUAGAAAUCAUAUCAUGGAAUGAUCGGUGUUCAAAUUUUUUUUUUUUUUUUAAAAAAAUUUUGCUGACCGAACCUGUCAACAUUAAUAGAAUGUGAUAGAACAGUAGGCCCUUCAAUGGAGGCAUAUAUUAUUGUAAUAGUAAUAUGAGGUUUAGCAAUGAUAGCAUUAUCAGACAAAAUAUCUCUUGUUUCCUAAUUCUUUAAUACAUAUUUUAGGUACAUCAGCAAAUUUCUUUUGCGUAUUUGAUUCCGAUGGGGACUGUGGUGGAGGGAAGAGGCAUGGCAAUAUUAUUAUGGCAAUGGGUCGUUGGACUCAAGGUCAAGGUGCAUGAACCAAAACUACUGAUUCGAAUUUUCAUUAUUGAGUUUUAAUCGUAGCUUGUUGCAGGAAGAGAUCUUCCUUCACCUGUUUCAUUCCUGAUUUGCUUCCAAAAAAAAAAAAAUAAUAAUGAUGAUGAUAAAGGAAGAGCCCCCAUUGUCACAUGACAUCCGUCAGAAGAUAACAGCUCCAAAAUUCAGAAGCAGUGGGGGUGCCCGCUGCCCACCCCCAGAAAAAUGUAAAAAAAAAAAAAUGUUCGUAUCACCACGCACCUUUACUUCAUCAACUCAAAGAGGAUUACUCCACACCACUUGGCAUUCGGAUCUCAUCCCCCUCGUAACAACUAACAACGCAGCAGUAUACAAGUACAACCCCACGGGAUGACUGCUUCAUUGGCACGCGUCGCGAGGAGCUGGAUUAGGAUUAAGUGUAGCAAGAAAGAAAGAAUGAGAGAUCAAAGACGGUAGUCGGAGUAUGCAGUCACGCUGCCGGCCGGAGCAGUAAUGACCGAAUGUGCUCAUGCACUGCACCAAAUGAAAUAUGUCAGCCGCGGAUGAUGAUAACGUUUUGCACGCUAAAAGUGAAAAAAAAAAACAGAGAAAGAAAUCUAAUUUGACGAUCGAAAGGGUCCGUCUCAUGAGACAAAAGUAAGAACGGACAGUAAAAAGGAUUGAGCACUCAGUGUUUGAUCAACGCUCGUCUGUCAGUCUGCUGAACAGAAACCUUCACUCACACCUCUGAAACAGAAAUUUGAGCAACUAGUACUCAAAAGAGUGUUUUCAAUUUCGGCCAUACUAACAACAGGGUUGGUCCGAGUGGUAAGCGGCUCGGAUUUGCUUAAACAGGUCUCGUGUUCGAGUUCUAAUGUACGUAGAUACUCCUGUUGGAAGAUUCACCCACUAUAGUCAGGUGCGCUACGCGGGUUGGGUCCGGAUUAGUUAGGGCAAAGCUUCGGAUACCGGGCAGACAACCAAAAAAAAAAUUUCGGCCACCCUCAAAAGAGCAGAAAAUAAUACUCCAUAAUAAUAAUAAUAAAGGUCUCUUCACCAAAAUGGCCGAUCAUAAAUUCCAUCUCAUCUUUGGCUGUGCCAUGUGAUUAGCAUUAACUCUUUCGUUUUGCUAAGACAUUUAUGUGCACUUUGAAAAUUUUACUACUACUUAACCCGCUUCCCCACCUUUUUUUUUUUUCUUCUUAGAAAAAGACGAAGCCAACGCUCAAGAAUAAGGCUGUAGUGAAACUGAGACUAGUAGCCUCACAACCAGGCUCAAGAGUAUAUAAAGAAUUGUUUGAACUCUGUUUAAUUAGUUUUUUAAUGCACCAAAAAAGGAAAAAGGGAAGAAGAAUUCUUAGCACUGCUCUUUUAUCUACUGGGUACUUUCUCCUUCGUCUCAAUCUCAAAAGCUCGUAGUAAAGACUAUGUUUGGGCCGGUACAAAAUGAAGUGGGCUCAUCGAAGGCAUUCUCUCGUGGACUUGACUGGUUAAUCCCAAUCUAACAUGGACACCGAUACAUUCGUAAUUGUUUAUCACUUUCCGCUGCCUAUAUUUACCUAUAUCUCCUUUUUUUUAAAAAAAACAAUUUUUCCGGAUGGACAAACACUGCUCGAGAAUCCCCAAUGAGCUGCUUGCAAGAAUUAAAUCCAUAGCCUCUGGCUGCCUUUUGCAGUUUUAGCUCUCCCUUUUUCUAUCUCACUUUUCUGAAGCAAAAUAGGCUAGCCUGUUUAUCUGUUUACCCGAAGAGUGGGGGAUUUUGCAAUUUCAAUGUUCAGUAGUUCGAACCAAACAUCAUACCAAACAAAUCACUUAAAAAAAAAAAGGAAAGGAAAUUAGACCCAAAAUAAUCGGGGUAAAUACUAGACAAUAACAGAUAGGACAAAAACAGAAUUUCUAAUAACAGAUAAGAUAAAAUCUCAUUCUUUUCCUGUUAAAAAUAAAUAAUUUUUUUUUAAAAAAAAAGAUAAGUAAAGAAAAGUGAAAAUGAAUAAGCAGUGGACUAAACGCUAAACAAAAAGCACGCCUUUCCGCAGUCCCAGGCUUGUCGGUGAAUUUCAGUAAUCUUCGAGGGGUAGAAAAGAGGGAAAGCCCCACUCUUACCGACAUCCCAAACAAGGCGGCCUGAAUUGAUGAUUGCGUGGUCGUGGACAGGAGUGUGGCCCAAAGAGCAACACUCAUUGAUGACUUCACAGCUGUAUCACAACCCCGCAGCCUGCAGCCUCCCAAGAAAACACACACACACAGUCACAUACACCCUUCACCCACUGCUGCACCUGCCUGCAUGGCAUGUGACUCCUUGUCCCUACACCACCUUCCCCUUUUCUCUGGAAUAGCGUAAUUUGCUGCUCCUACUUCCCACACAGUGUACUGCCCAAACACAGUCGAAUUCACUCUUCCCUCCUAGAAAGAAAAUUGUUCGUUCAAAGUUCAACUACCCAACUUUGGCCAUGGAUAGCUCCAAAUGCUGCUACCUUUGGUUUUGGGCUUGCAGUUUUCUCCUCAUCCUCACGUCCAAGUCACUCGUACUUCAUAGAGUUUUAGCUCAACCUGAGGAAGCUGCCACUUUACAGCUCAAAGCUGAUUCCUCGGAAUGGCCAGCGGGGAUGAUGUCCCUCUACGACGCUGCGGAUGAUGUAGUCGGAGACAAUGACGACGACAUGGAAAUGGACGAGGAUGCCGUGUCUAGUUCCAGGAGAUCGCUGUUUUGGCGGAGAGUGAGGUACUACAUUUCAUACGCGGCCCUGUCGGCGAAUAGGAUCCCCUGUCCCCCUCGCUCCGGCAGGUCCUACUACACCCAUCACUGCUAUUUCGCCAGCGGCCCAGUCCACCCUUAUAACCGAGGUUGCUCCGCCAUCACCCGUUGCCGCAGAUAAACUAUUCCCUUCGCCUUUCAUCUUGUGUCUGCGUGGUGGUUUCUUUUUAUUUGUGCGUCUGCUUAUCGUUUGCUUUCUGGUCUCGAAAACUGUCGUCACACACCCCUGUUUUCUUGAGUGCUUUUAUAUUUUUCUGAUCCGUGCCUUCAAUUUAAAUUGUUUGUUAAUUUAAAACUGGAUAGAAUUUGCUGAGUCUUGAGAGGGAGAGACGAUCAUUUUCGAGGUGUAAGCUGCUAAUGAAUUUAUCCUAGCAAGCACUGCUUAUUUUUGCAUGCAUUCUCGAACAAAUUCGUUGUUAGUAAUUAGACUCUCAGUUAUUAGAGAGAUAUGGUGCCGUCUGUAGGAUACAAUUUGCCUUCGUGUUAACGUUAAUCUUUCGGGGAAUCAGGCAAUAAACUGGAAAUUGCAAGUUCAGGAAACCCGAAUGCAGCACACUCGACACAAAGUGAAGAAGUUGCGGUGCAGGCAAACCCAUAGUCAUGACCAUGCCCAAUUUCCAAAUGACCAUCUUGAAAGCUGGGGGGGGGGGGAACCAAUUGACCAAACCUUCCUGGUUCCCUCAGCGACCUCCAUUAAUUCCUCAGCUACCAAUUACGUACUACUCCUCCGUCCGUUCAUUUUGAUAGUCUUAGUUUUUUUUUCAUACGAUUUUAAAAAAAGUAGUUAACUUUGUUGAAACAAUCAAUUUAGGUAACUAUUUUCCUAAAAUAUUCUCACAUUAAUUAGAGUAUAACUUUAUGGGAACUUGAAUUGAUGGUAAAAAAUAAAUAAACUCUCAUUAAAUGGAGUAGGUUUAUAGUAAUAACAACUUACAUUAAAUAAGGAUAUUUUAAGAAAAUUAAAAUAUAAUUACAUUCUUCAAUUGGAAAGUGAAUUACAAUUUGGGACAGAUAAAAAAGGAAAACAGGACUAUCAAAGUGGUGGGAUGGAAGGAGUAGUUACUACCACCGAUCAGUAGACUAAAUACUUGAAGACCUGGCAAAUUGCUAUAUCUAUCGAAUAGGAAUUUAGUAGUCGUAAAUAAGUGGCAAAAUAUUAUUGGGUUUGGUAGUUAGUUACCAAUCCAAUACUGGUCCUGCUUCCGGGAUGGGAAUCUGUUUCAACAAUCUUUUUUUAACCUACUGGUAUAUAGUAUCUUGGAUGGCUAGCACUAACAAAAUUGUGAGGAUAUUGCCUGGCAUACGUCUAGCAUUUUCAAGCUUCUUCACCGUGUUGACCAUUAUUCUUCUCUUGCUGAAUCUUUUCUGCCCAUCUUUCCGCCUUCUUUUUUUUUGUUUUUUUUUUUUGUUUUUAGGCUUCCUUGGUAUAUUGACCAAUGUCCCUUGCAAUCCAGUUCAUGCUAAAAUCUAUGCCUAUUAGUUGUCUUUCCUGCUGUUCUGGGGUAAAGACUACGAGAGAGUGUUUUUGCUUUCAAGCAUGCAUAUAAAUCUUGCCGCUGCCAUCGUUAAAGUUAAAAAUUAAACCAAACAUUUUAAGCUCGACUUAAUUACCUAAUCAUCCCAACAAUAGAUUUUGUUGACUUCCAGAGUCGUCAGCAAUGUAGUAUCUACAGUUGAUAAAUGGCAAACACCGUGCCAGCCCAAUAUAGGCCUGUAUCGACGGGCGGGUUCGAGCCGGAAUUAAUAAAUUAGGAUCCGGAUCCAUCGUACUGUAUUAAUUUCGGAUCCGACCCAAAUACCCGACAGAUCUCCUAAUCUCUCUAUCGGACCCGCACUCGACGGUCCCGAAUCCGGGUCGGACCUACCCGGAAAAAGGCAAAAUACCAGAAUGGAGGCUUGCUUGCUUCUAUUUCAAAAGGAAGGUUCCCAGCUACAGAUCCAGAAUAUAGCUGAAAAUUGAGCAAAAAGAAUAAGAAAAAUUCUAUGAGGUUGUGGCUUCAUUAUUAAAGCUUGAAGAGCGAAAAGUGGAGGCUCAAAUUGGAGUAUGACAUCAAGACAGGCUAAAACCGCCAUGGCUACAAACAACAGUUGCCGCAUGAGAGAAAUCAGAUAAAGAACCCAAAAGGAAAAAUGAACCAAAAGUGCCCAGUUUUCCUUUUGAGCCCUCUGCAUAUCCCUCACAGACCCUCCAGAGUUCACCAAGCCAAGCUACGGAAAAGCUCAAAAUCUUGAUUUCUAUUUAGUUUCGUAUUGAUAAUAAACAAAAAAAAAAUCAUCACAGCCUUAGAUAAGUAGUCGGUUCUUAAAUUCACGGUCUUUAACAAAGACAAAAUACCAUAAUGGAGGCUUUCACCUCACCAUGCUUUUUACAAACUCUUACGGUAUUGAAAAAUUAAAAAAUAUAUAUAUCUAUGAUUGUGAGAAAGAAAGCUGGGCUGCUAGAAGCCUGGAAGAGUUGGGCUUCUUUGGAGCUGCAACCGUCAGGCAUCAGAGAUGGAGAGAGCUCGCCGGUUUCACAAUGGACUGGCGGAAGCAGAGCAAAAGAGAAGAGAGUGAGACUGGAAUUGGAAGAGCUGGAAGGCAACGGGCUUCUCUGGCCACUGGCGAAGGAGGGAGGCAGAGCAAAAGAGAAAAGAGAGUGAGGGGAAAAAGGGAUGUGUGGCGGUGGUGGGUAUUAGGGUUGGAAAUAUUUGGGAAUGAAAGAAGUAGAGAUGUAGUAUUGAUAUGAAUAAUUAUGAUAGAUUGAUAUAUAUUUUGUAAGUAUUAAUUAAUUAAAAUUGGUUCAGGUCGAAUACGGGUCGAAAUGAUAUAUUUCGUAUUCGAUUCGUAAAUUAAUUAGAUAAAAUGGGUCUGGAUCCGAAUUCGGGUCACGAAUCUAUACACUUAUUCGUACCAAGAAAAUGUUGGCGGUCCGAUUCGGCCGUUGACAGCCCUAGCCCAAUAGACCCUAAUAUGACUCAUUGCUCAUAGAAAGAAAGAAAGACAAAUGGAUUGGAGCAGGAAUUGGACCUGAUAACCGUUGAAAUCACUAGUCCGUUGCAUGUUAUGGGUCAGAACUCGGAUUUCUAUUUUUUCUUGUGCUUAGCCUAGAAAAUCUGUACUAAAUUCUGUUUUUUUUUUUAAUUAAAAAAAAGGGUGGGAGUACCUUUCAUUUUUUGGGCUGAAAUCACAGCCCAUAUGCCAAAUGUACGGUUUUAGAACUCAUUUCUGUCAGCCACUGAAUAGGAGGAAAGGCCACCAGCCUUUGGGCCUGGUGGCCACUGCCAUGUACUUGGUGGGCUCUCACCAAAUUGUCAGUGUAUGUAGCUGUUUUCAAUGGUUUUCUCCAAUGAAAUUUCUAUUCUCAUUGCUCCUCCUCCCCCUAGAUUAAGAUUGAUUAGAUUAUAGAAAUAUUACCUUUGUGAUAAAAAAAAAAAAAGAAUAGGAGGAAAGGACUCUUACAAAAAAAUAAUAAUAAUAACAAGGAUUCUUCUCUCUUUUGUACCCCAAAAAAAGCAAAGGAAAAAAAUAAUGCCACUGUUAAUUGCGUUGUCCCACAGCUUGCGAUUUUUGAACAUAUCACUCAAAUCAUAUAGAAAAGGUAAUGUCAUUGUUAGCACAUGCAAUUAAAUCUGAACCGAGAAUUAUGUUGCAAUUUGUUUGAAGAAUUAUGCAGUUUCAUGUCUCAUAUGAAGCCCUCAAGUUGUUUGUCCCAAAAAAAAAAAUAUAUAUAUAUAUAUAUCUGACGAGACGCGGCAAGACAACAAGUGUCUUAGAAGGCCUAUAGCUCAAGAUACAGCCUACAGGAAGGAAGAAUUGAUGGGUACAGCCUACAGCUUCCCCAUAAUUGGAGGAGGCCCGUGAACUAACAACACUUGCACCGUGGACCAGAACUUGAUGGGCUCACUCACAAUCCAUGUGAGCUCCUUCUCCGGACCCGCUAAUAAUAUUAAAAUCCUUUUCCGUUCCAAGAAACUGACCGGUAUGCCAUUACUGACCGCACCGUGUUGGUAGACCACGUGCUCCUCACCUCUCGCAUAUAUUUGGAGUUUGGACCGUCCGCCGCACGUGUUAUUUAUUUAUUAUUAUAUACUCAUAUUUUUUGAAUAAGUAACUGGUUUGAAUCUCAUCUAACCCUUGCGAUUGUGAGUAGGUGACACAACAUAUUAUUAUUAGGAUUGAAUUUUUUGUGCACUAUUACUGUAGAAUUCAUUUCCUUUUUUUUUUUAAAAAAAAAAAUUUAACACUGACUGAGCGUCGAUGAAUGCCACAAAUAUAAAAAAUAAAUUCUAAAUUCAAUUGAAAAUUAUGUAGCAUGCAUCUAAUUUUGUUAGAGUAACGAAAUUUUUACACCGAUAAAACGCAAUUUUGGCAAAUGGAAGCGAUGACUUGUCUCUUUUCUUUUUUUUUUUUUCUCUAUCCUGUAUUUUAUCACUGGAGUCGGUCAGCUGGGCAAUAAUUAUCGCCGGUGAGGAAAGUUUUCCAAAGCAUAAUAGUUUUUGGUCGGUCUAAAUGAGGAAGCUUCAGAGAAUCUAUAAUAGUUCAAACCCAGCACAAUACUGCUGUAUACACUAUACAGCAACAGUGAGGCAGCCGAGGACCGAGGUCAUCCAACGUGCAAAUUGAGAUUUCCUGUUCUCUUUUGGCUGCAGCAAUGGAAUGAAAGAACGAAUAUAUUAUUAAAUCUCAAGUGAGAAUUUUAUAGCGGCACCGUUGUGUUCUAUCUCACGUAGAUUCAGAAUUGGGAUUGGAACUGAAAUUAGGUUACGUAGAUUUUUUACUUUUUUUGGGUAAUUAAAUCCGGUGAAAUUCCUAUUUUCUAAAAUAAAAGAUAAAUGUUUUUGGGCAUAAAUAAUAGUAAAACAUAAGGGUAGAGCGCUGUAACCCUCGGCUCAUAAUUUACCAAGUCUUCCCAUCACCGAAUUUAUAGGGUCAUUUAGAUUGCAUUGCUAUCUCGCUGAUGGAUUUGUGACGCCACUUUUAGAGUCGAGAUUCAAAGAUGAAUGAAGCAACCGAAACUGAAAAACUCAUGACGGUGUCACACCUUCAUCUCAUCAUCCAUCCUCUUUUUUUUUUUUCUCUCUUUCUCUCUCUCUCUGUUUUUUUUUUUUUUUUGGGGAAAGAAAGAUCUGAUCAUCCAUCCAUCCACUGAAGCUGCAACCCUAUCGCUUAAAACGAUGACUGCCCGCCCCCUUUCUGUGCCAAAGGUGGAUCACUUGGCUAGGCUAGCCUUAUAUAAUUGACUAAAAAAGUUACUUAUAUAUAUAUAUAUAUAUAUAUGUCCGCCAAAAAAGGAAAGAGGAGAUGCCGCUUUGGCGGCUGCGGAUAAUGAAUGGAUUCGGAGCUUCAGCAAUGGCUAAUAUAUUUAAUUGCACCAUGUAAUAUAUAUAUAUAUGUCAUCAAUUACAGUAUGCAAUUGCUAUGACUUUCACAUAAAUAGACGAUAGUUGCUACUAUUUUUAAGUUUUUAGCGUUUGAGUUCUGCAAGUUGCAAAACGGUAGAAUAGAAGAUCGCAGGUCGGGUGACUUUCGUGAGGCAGGAAUCGUUAGGAGCACGCGAGUGGUGCUUUGGUUCUGCAAACUAAUUUUAGCGGCUCAAAAACGAGAACGUCCCUCUCCAGUCUCGACAAAUUUUUGGCGCAAGUUUGAGUGUCAAAAAACCUGACCACUUGAAUAAUAAAUUCCUUUUCCAAAAAAAAAAAAGAAAAGAAAAAAAAAGAAAGACAGAAAUGGUCCGGUCGCGAGGCGUGAUACGUGCGUAAUAAAGUUGCAAAAGCGGGAAUUGGCGCCAUCAAAAAACGCGGGUCUCGCGCGCAUAAAAUAUAGGGCAACUAGUUACCAGUUAUCAGGUAGAGUGAGUGUGCUAUCUCACUUGUCUAGUGACUGGUGAGUAAAAAGUAAGAACGUGCCAACAUGUGAUGGCUAACAUCAUUUUACGGACCAAAAGACGUGAUUCCCCUGCAUCCAACCCCCGCCCUGCCCUGCCCAAAACACUUGCAUUUCAGCGCUUCAACUUGCAUUUCUAGUUGGGCUAUCAUUUAUUGGCUUGUUAUCAGGAUUUUGUCUUUCUCAUGCACCUUUGUUUCCCCUCUCCUUUUGCACCCAAAUAGAACAUCUAGCCACUUGAUCUUUAAGAAUGACAACUAUCUAGGUUCGACAUUUUUCUAAUGAAUGGUUGUGAGUUUCGACCAAAAUUUAACCCCAAAAAAAAAAUAAUAAUAAUAAUAGUGAUAAAUUAUGAAAUUCUUUGCCUUCAUCAUCUUAAAGAAUCCAAUCUUAAUUUCCGUGGAUUACAGUUAAUUUACUUACAGAGUAGUAGUAGUAGUAGUAGUACAGUAUAUUUUACAGAAUUGGCCGCGAAGUAGUCAUGAAAAGCAUGUAUCACAUCUGUCCCGGUAUGGUGGGAUGCAAUCAGAUGGCGGCUGAGCAUAUGCAAGGGGCGUAUUAUGCGGUUAUUAAAGUGAAAAAAAAAAUUUUAAUCUUUUUUGCAGGCAGCUGAUUCUGAUUCUUGGGAAGGACUCAAAAAGUUUCUUAAUUCCUUGCCUUCCGUGCCCAUGAUGAGCCAUCACCGUCCACCGACGCCAAGGAAUUCUGUCCCAACAUGGUUCAGCUGAAGGCUCAAAGUGGCGGAGAACAAAGGCCAGUAUGUUUAGAUAAAAGAAACUAUGGCCAAAAACAACAUCCCAUACGAAAGAACAGGUCUCUAAACAUGUGGUGGGUCCCGCUCGCCUCACAUGAUCCAUGCUUUGAACCCAUCAUAUGCAACUAGUCAAUGAGCAUUUCUGGUUAGUAGUACUCAACACUCCAUUCCAAUGCAGACUAUCCAACCAAACUGCCUAAGUAAGCUGUAUAGUCUGGUAACAAUUUGGCAGCUUUUCUUUUCUUUUCUUUUCCUUCCCUUCACCAGAAGAAGCGGAUCAAGGGCUCGCUUUCUUCUGUUUCAGUCAGUUUCCUCGUGGUUUUUUUUCGUAUUUAAGCAAAAUCACGCGAUGAUGCUGUCUGUUGUUUUGUGCUUUUUCUUAAUUAGCAUGCACCGUACCGUUACCCCUUUUCCCUUUUUUGCUUUUUUCUUGGUGACCCGAUUUUUCUGCACUCAUAACGUGGCCGAUAAAUUCCAUGUACUGGGUACUAGAAUAGCAACCAAAACGACAAGAAGGUACCAGCAAAUGACCGAACCUAUGCUAGGCUAGCUGAAGAGAGGGUGAAUAACUCAGUGAUACAUGGCUGAAGAGACCAAACCUAGUUGAAGGUGCCUAUGAUUCAUUCUCGAAUUAUAAGGGAUGAGCUCUCUAGAGAAAUACUUGUUUUACGGGAAUUACGUGUAACAAUUCGAUAAUGAAAACAGGUUAUCUGAUCAACCAUUAUUCCUAUAUGGGACGAAGGAGAUAAAGUUCCACGCUCUAUCACCUAUCCCUUAAACCGUAUAACAGGUAAAUACCCUCGAACGUCGAAUGUGCAUCAUCUAUUGCCCGCUCCACUACUUGUCUCUUAUAACAGAGUGACCUCAAGAAUAACCCAAAAAACUGAUUUGACCGUUGGAGUUAGAGCUGCAAACGAACCAAACUGAUCGCGAUCGAGUCGAGCUGAUCAAGUUCGAAAAUACUAAAUUCGUUAACUCGUGAACCGGCACGAGCUCAAUUAUAUAUAUAAUUAUUUUAAUAGUGAAAUUACAUAUAUAUUUCUAAUAUUUUAUUAUUUGUUAAUAAAAAUUAUUAUUUUAUUCAAUUUUUAAAAAUAAAAUAAUUUUUUUUAAAAAGCUCAAGUUUGACUCGAAUUUGAGUUGAGGUCAAGCUUGACAUUUUGAGUUUGUUGAAUUCGAACUCGAGUUCGAGUUUUUGUAAAAUUAUAUUGAGACUCGAUUCGAUUAGAUUGAAACUCGAUUCGACUCGUCUCAUUUGCACCCCUAAUUAGAGUGACCUCCAGAAAUUAAACCUGGCCCUCUGUUAGUUCAUUAGUUCAUGCUUGGAGGUUUCUUGUGAGUGCAGUCCAUCUUGAGUCUGUUAGUUCAUCCUGAUCCUUGCAGGUUUCUUAUGAGUGCAGUCCAUCCUAAGUCAGUUCGCCCAUACUUUUUUGUGCUUCUACACUAGCUAUCCUAAUAUCCAUGAAUUAAAUUAGAAAAGAAAUGUAUUGCACCAAUCUGUGACCUGAGUUGGAAGAAAAUACGUAAAUCAAUUCAAUCAAAUCACUAUAUAUGUUGUAGCAUUUAUUUGCAUCAAAUGACCAACCAAUCCUUCAAUAAAAUUUGGCGUAACAAGUAUUUUCAGCCCAACUUAGACAUAAUUAUAAACACCUUUCAGGUGCCCUUUUGCCAUUUAGACAUUUAAGAAGUUCCUUGAAUUCUAAGAGAGUAGGAUUUUCACUAUUAGACUCGAAGACAUUCACCAGCUAGUUUGAACUUAACAAACACUCGUCCAGCUUAGCCAUCAAGCACGCAACUAACGAAAGUCAGCUCCAGAUUUAUCAAAUGUGAAUGCAAUUCCCAGCUGACCUUAUUCAAGUGCUUCUCAAGGAAAGGCACUGGUUUAAUGUGGAAUUAAUCAAAUCUACAAUGCGGCCUACUUACUUUAUUCCGUUGGUAUCAAAAUUAGUUAUGCCAUCGUUGAAUUGCCGAUUUAUUUCCAUCUCACUGGUGGAUACUAUUCUCCGGCAAUAUCAAAAAGAUACAUAGUGCUUACAAAACGAUCGGGAGGAUAUUGACAGCUGAACAGUUUAGGUAGGAAUUUUUUUUUUUGAAGAAAAUUUUGUAUAAGCAAAGGAAAAUUAAUUAGGUGAGCAAUGAUAUUUAGAGUCGGCGCCUCUCUAAAUUUAUGAAACGAUUUGCAGGUGUCGGUUAGGAAGGAGAUAGAGAUGAAGGAAGGUGUUUUUUUUUUUCCAGGUGUCGGUUGGGAAGGUGAGAGAUGAAGGAAGUUUGUUGCCGAGGCGCAUACGAAAUUAAGCACGUGCAAAUUCUUCCAAAAUUUAAACGAUUUUAGUGGGAAUACUGAACAAUUCCAUUCCUCAGUCUAAUUGCUAUUUUCAAGAUAAGCAACCUAUCCCAUUCUCAGAAUUAAAACAAAAACAAAAAACAAAAAGACAAAAAUCAUAAAUAUUGCCCAAAUCAGCAGAGAGCUAUGAAGAGGUGAAUUCUGACCGGUUGGAGUGAACCGAGAGCUGGAUGUGCUACAGCUGAAAAGGUCACAGCGAUCUUGGUCACCUGCUUAGGUUACAAGAGGGGCUGAAUCCCCCGGUAUAACUCCGAAACUUAAGUCAGUUCGGGAUUGGAAAAACAGUUUAAUAGUAGAGGAAAUCAGUGUAUGGUGUUUUACCAGAAAAAUGGUCAUCGCCUUUUUCAGUAGAAGUGUUGAGUAUUUAUAGAGGAUGGACAGGAAAGAGGGAUUGCUGGCACGGAUCCCUAAAGAUUUGGCAUGGGCAGUGCAUCAAGUUGAUUUUAUGGGCUCCUGCGAAAAGGCGCGCCGGAACAAUUGUCAGAGUCAGGCGGCGCAUGUGUCAGAGCAGCUUUGUCAGGUGUCAGAGGUCAUAUCCCACCUCUCCGGCGGUCAGACUUUUAGACGUCACUUCGGCUUUAUGACAGAAAAUCUUAGCCGAGGUGGUAUCGGGGCCGAAGUCACGACUCGAGGGGGAUUGCCGAGGCGGUGGUUCCAGAAGUAUCACAGGGUGAGGCCCCCGGACUAUCCGAGCUGGAACGACCAUCCUCAAGCUACAAAAAGUUUGCAACGCAAAUUGAAGUGGUAUAAUGUAGAAUAUCUCAUGUCAUGUUUGCAAUGCAAAUUUUUUCAAAAAAAAAAAAAUUUACAUAUUUUUCAAUCACUAUUUUAUCUGACAUAUAUCAAAUCAGCAUAAUUAAUGCAUCUUUCUACAACAACUUCAAAAAAAAAAAACAAUUUUCUACUAAUACCUUUCACCUAAACUAUACAAAAAACUGUUCUUCUUGUCAAUUCAUUCUUGGAUAAACGUUUCAUUGUACUUUUAUAAACAAGAACAAGCCAUCACACUCACCAGUCACCACUACGUAAGAAAUAAAGAAAUAAUCUUCAGAAAUCCUAUAAAUGAAAGCAAAUCAGUAAUUCACUACUGAAUUAAAUACAUACAACACCCUAUGGCGUGCGCAUUUAUGUCAAGGUCAAUUUCUUCCUGCCUUCCUUCUCUCUGUUUACUUUUCACGCUUUUGUAAAAAAUAAUAAAUAAUUAAAAGCAACAUAGUAGUGCUUCAGUUGUACUUAAAUUUGUGAGCCAACCUGGACGACUAAUCGUGUUUAGCUAGCUAGCAGUCGUCAAACUUCAACUUUCUUUUUGUUUCUUGCUGGCCCCGUUUUCUCCGGUGAGCUGUGAACGCUGAACCUUUGAGGUUAGGGAGAGGUCAAAUACCAAAUUCAAAUCAUCUGGACAUCAUUACGGAACUUUAACCAAGAGCAGCGUAAGGGCAAGACGUCAAGUAACUAACGGAAUGGUCAAAUCAUUUUCUUUCACUCAAAAAAAAUCAAGUAGUAGUAAUCUUUUUAAGCAAAGGCGGAAAAACAAAUGGAGUGAUAGACCAAUGAUAUUGUAGUGAUUGGCAAGUGGCGGGUGCCAAAAUCAAGUUGUGGUACCCAUCUACCUGACGAAGACUGGUAAAAACUCGAAACCUUUUCUGCGCUGUUUAGACCCGAUCAGCCGCCAUUCAUCUGCCCCUCUCCUCAACAUGCCAUGCUCCACCACGAGUAAAUCGUGACGACAUCGCUUAUGUCUUUACUUACUUUUUUGUUAUAUUUUGGCUCCCCAGUUAGUCCCUCGCCUUCAAUCAAAUGAAUAUUCCACCUUCGGAAUAUUCUUCUCUUCUAAACCUACUAAUUCGUUACAAAACAAUUUCUCUCCCUUUUUAAUCCUUAAACAAGUUUAAGUUCACGAAUACCGGACGAAAACAAGGAUGCAAGAGCAUAAUCGUCGUGAUCAUUGCCAAAAUGUUCUUACUUAACUCUCUUAUCUCUUUUUAAUUGGCGAAUUGCAAAGUUUUAUUGAGUCUGAAAUGGAGGAGAGUAAUUUGAAUUAAAGAAUUACCUCAAAAAAAAAAAAUAGCACAAUUGAAGCCGGAAUUGACGUAUGCUAUAGCACAUGAUCCGUGCUGCAUUAAUCAUAACAAAAAUGAAGCGGUGAUGGACUAAUAAUUUGGGUAGUUAUGUUAAUGGCAGGUUAACCGGUCAUUGGGAAUGAGGCUAAACCGUCACAAUCGAACCGGUGUGGGCUAUGGUUAAAUGAGAACGAUCCCAGUGAUUUCUUUCCCUUUGCCCAUCUCAACCACGUUUCUCAAAUUUCAGCAGAGCUGGGGCCGGCGGUACGCUGCUUCUGCUUAUUCUGUGGAGAGAAAUAUCCUCGACUAUCACGUGCAUUUUAUAUAUAAUCCAUCAACUAACGAGUCUUGCAAGAAAAAUAAAAGAGCUCAUGCGUCACCAAAUAUGUCAAAAUUAAUUCAACCACCACUUCAACUGUGUUGUACUAGUGGGAUAUUCCUUCCUAUAUAUACGAGUCCCCUGUUUAAGGCUGCUUGUUGCAUCCUCUUCACUUCUCUGUUUUCCCUCCUACUUCCGCAUCCCAAACUACAAACGCAAAUUCUAACGACUAAGCUAAAAAUUUUCAGCUUGAAUUCAACCUCGCAUCUGACGCUCCAAAAUGGAGUGGGUUCGCGGAGAUAUUCUUGGUCAUGGGAGCUUUGGUACUGUGAGUUUAGCAAAACCCGGAAGCAGCCGGAGCAGCUGUCAUAACAUUCCCGAACUGAUGGCCGUGAAGUCCUGCGGAGUUUCAUCCUCUGCUUCAUUGCUGAACGAGAAGGAAGUUCUCGACGGAUUCAAGGAUUGCCCUGAGAUAAUCCAGUGCUAUGGGGAUGGUCACAGUUUUGAAAAUGGCGAAAAAUUGUAUAAUGUGUUCUUGGAGUAUGCUUCUGGAGGGACUUUAGCAGAUAAGCUUAACAAUUCAUGUGAUCAUCGGUUGCCGGAAGAUGAAGUCCGGCGAUAUACAAGGGGUAUAUUAAGAGGGCUAAGACGUGUUCACGAGAAUGGUUUUGUUCAUUGCGAUAUUAAGCUUCAAAAUAUUCUUUUAGGCCAGGACGGGGCAGUAAAGAUUGGUGAUUUUGGGCUAGCGAAGAAAGAUGCAGAGGAAAAGGUGGGGUGUGAAUUGAGGGGUACACCUCUGUAUAUGUCGCCGGAGAUGGUAGCGGGAGGUGACCAGUCGUCGCCGGCGGACAUAUGGGCACUUGGCUGUUUGGUGGCAGAGAUGUUUACCGGAGUUCCGGCUUGGAGGUGCUCAGACGUUGCGGCGCUAUUGAUGAGAAUUGGGGUUGGUGAUGAGGUGCCUGAGAUUCCCGGGAAAUUAUCGGAGGAGGGAAAAGAUUUUGUUGGAAAGUGCUUCGUGAAGGACCCGAAGGAGAGAUGGACGGCUGAGAUGCUUUUGGAUCAUCCGUUUGUAUGUGAUCAUGAUGAUCGGGGUACUGUUACAUUCAAAGAAGUUCCUUCAACCUCUCCUAGAAGCGCGUUCGAUUUCCCCGAUUGGGUGUCGCAACAGUCGUCGCUCACAUUCUCAAUUACCUCCUUAUCCGCGCCGGAAUCUCAGUCUUGGGUCGACGGCCCAGAGUUGAAUACAUUUGACGGGUCAUGGUCCAAUUCGCCGGCGAAGCGGCUCCAGGGACUAGUUAAUGACCACCAACUUGAGUGGUUCGGUUCCGAUGAUUGGAUCACCGUCAGGUGAUGCAAAUAUUCUGACCGAAGCCAGAUUCAGAGUCCUGAAGAUUUUUUUUUUUUUUUUUUGGAGCUCUGAUUUUAUUUUUUUUUGGGUAAAUCUUAUUUUUGGCCAUUUCUAACUUUCUUGGGUUAGUUUUUUUCCAGUUAUCUUGAUGUACAUAAAAUUGGUAGAAAGGUUCAUGUACAGCAGGCAAGUUGCCUGGAGCCAUGACCUCAUUUAACGGUUGUGAUUGGAGAGUCAGUCGUCUGAGUGUACAGUGAUUAAAACUCGAAAUCAUUUAUAAAAAUUUCUUUAUUUAUUUGAAUCAAUAUUCUUGCGGCUACAAACUUCUCUUUUCUUGUUGCGGCUACAAACGUCUGAGUUGCAGUUGUGUCUGGACUCUGGAUUUAUUGGGCUAAAGUGAUAUUUUGCCCAGAAUCUGCGUAGCUUCGCAAUCACUCUGCCUCCCUCUCUCGCAAGUUGCAACUUUUAUUAAUCCUGGCCACUAGGCGGACGCAGACCCCAACAAAUGAUAUGCUCUUCCAUAAUGGCUCGUGCUAGGUUAAAAUAGUUACUUCUUGCUAUUAAUUGCAUCGGCAAAUUGAGAUGUCUUUUGUUCUUCCCCCGUUGAUGGUGGGAAACACUACUAGGUUGGUUCCUAAACUUCAUCAAACCAACCUUUUUUUGGUCAAGCACUCCAUCAGACUAACAGCACUAAAAAGUUUGGUGCCAGCAAAAAUGGCUUCCGCUUACAUCCACAAGGGCAGUGUGUUGCGUGUUAUUCUACACUGUAUGAUUGGGGGUUAAAGAUAUUCGCAUCAAUUGCUGAUAGGAAUAGUUGAAAUUAUAAGCUUAAUCACCUGGAGUUGUAGGUGAAUGUAUUAUUGGAGCCCACCGCGUGUCAAGGUUCAACUACUAAAUCAUGCAGUGUAGGACAUCAAAAAACAGCAGGGGAAAAGUGAUGAUAUAUAUAUAUAUAUAUAUAUAUAUAUAGGACUGUCAAUGGAGUCGAGGAUCGAUCUAAUCUUAAUUUCAACCCAAUCGACACUAUAAUUAAUUAACCGGUUGAGCUAGCGUCGUAUAUGGAUUUGACUGGGUAUGAGCUCAAAAAUAGGGUCAAUAUUAAAAUGGGUUGAACGUGAACAACACUAAGUUUAACCAUCUUUCAAUAUGUUUAAUGGAAAAAAAAAAUAUGCAAAUGUUUACUCAUUGUUUCAAAAUUUACUACUAUUUAAGAAAUGUGUACAAGUAAUUAUAAUAAAUCUUGUUCUUAAUAUAUUGAGCUUUGAUUUUAUUUAAUUAAUGUUUUGUAUUUUAUGAAAAAAGAAAAUUUCUAAAUAGGAAAUUGUUGAACUUAGGCCAGCCCCUUUACAAGGGCCAGUCUUGGGCUGUAAACUUUGAAACACAAAUGGAUUAAACCCAACAUUUUGUUAAAUUUUUUAUCUGGCCCGGAGCUUGGACAUUGCAGAACCCGAUCCAUUACAUCCAUUUGACAGGCCUAGACAAAUAGUAUAAUUCUAGGAUGCUCAUUCAAAAUGAUAUACGGUCAUUGCCAAGGAAAAUAUGAAAGUGGAAAGUUUUGAAAUUAUAAUAGGUCUAUCGAUAAACAUUACCGCUCAUAUAGUUAUUUACCAUUGUGGUGGUGUUCACUUUAUUUAUGCAAAUCGACAUUGACAAUUGCUGAGUGGCAGAAUGAUUUUUAUCGAAAUUAGAUCAACUGCCAUGGAUUUACUAUAUGCGCAACAAGUACCAUUCACCCGUACGUUGCACAAUUACUAAUUACCCUUGGACAGUUGUUUAACUUGAGGGCAUAUUCUCGACCGUUUAUAACAAGCUAAAGCAGAUCAUGCUAAAAUUAAAAAGAAAAUGUUGUAGAAAAACAGGCACCACUGGAUUGCUCAUUAAUCUUUCCAAUACACUAACAGGUGAAUGACAACUACGCAAAAUUUAAAUUUGAAAUUCAAUUUUUACAUAUGUGUCAUGAAUCCAAUGGUGACAGUGUAUGUACUAUCAGUAUAUAUGAGAUUUACUCUUAUUUUUAAAACCUGCGACACUAUCAAAUAGUUACUUUUUAACUUUUCAUGACCAGUCGAGAACAAGCUUUUUUUGUCAUCCUCCAGUCUCUCUCUUCAUUGUCAUUUUGCAUCUAUUAUUAUUAUUAUUCAUAGCUUUGUUAUUCAGUCUUUUGCCACGAAAACUCCGUAAGCGAGAGGAGAAAGAGAUCAUAGUCCCAUAUCCACCACAACCACAACCGAAAGAAAAAAUGCAAGUUAUCGAAAUGCACCCAAGUCGAUUAACCAAAGAAAAGGAGAAGACAAGACAGCUUCGAGCGUAACGGCAGAAUGAAAAUCAACAAAUUAACGACACUUCAUAAAGCCCAUAACUCAUCAGAAACCUCAGCUUCAGAAGAAGUGCUCAGCUCUUGAUUUCCAGCAUCUUGUCUGUAUCUGCAGUAUACCCUCAUUUCCUCCAAAAAAACAAAAUUAAAC